GAUGCAUUUUUAUUUUAUCUAGCAAAGUUGUAAAAAAAAAACGUGAAUAAGCACUACGUUUGUAAGUAUGUGUAUCUUCUUAUCAAUAUGUUUUAUUUGUGCCAAAGUUAUUUUAGCUAUUCUGUGUUAAGUUUUCGGCGCAUAUUUCUGCGACUUGAUUUAAAUGCGUUUUAGUUUUACAACUUGUAGAUUUUUAUCGUACAGCGUUAUUUUCUUGGAGUUCAUCGUUUUGCGCCAACUUUGUCAAUUUAUGGAGACAUUUGAUGGGUACCUAGUCAAUAUAGACGUUGGAUUAAUGUAAUUAGAUAUUGGAAUAGUGUUUUAUCCUUUUACAAUGAAUGGAUCACAAGAAAUGUAUUUGAAUUUGAUUACAACAGAUGUAGGAAUAAUUGGUGUAGUGAUUUAAAAGAAAUUUUUCACUGUUUAGAUUUAGAUUACUACUUAGACUCUAGAAUGAUAGUAGACACAAAUAUAGUUCAAUUAAAAAUACACUUCUUCUGUUCAAAUUUCUGGAACAGCGAGAUUAGCAAUAUUUCAAAACUACGUACUUGCGCACUUUUUAAAACAGUUUUUGGGUAGAGAAAAUUAUGUAAUUUUAGCUAUGCCUAAACAAUUGCGUUCAAUUUUGGCUCAGUUUAGAUGUGGGAUUUUACCAUUGAGAAUUGAGACGGGUAGAUACCACAGUGAACCUGUUGAAGAGCGAAUUUGUACUUUUUGUUGUAGAAUUAGUGUAGAAAACGAAAUUCACUUUUUAUUACAUUGUCCUUUAUAUAACGACUAUAGAAGAAUCCUUUUCGUAAAUACUGGGUUUAAUCAAUUACUAGAUUUGUCAGAUACAGAUGCACUAAUUGUUCUUAUUUCAAAUUAUUCUCGGCAGGUUGCCAAAUACUUAAUAUAUUAUUCUUUUACAAUCUUUUGACAAUCUUUAUUGUUCAGGAAAUAAACAUAUACUGUAUUAUAUAAACUAUGCAAACUUAAGGUUCUGAAGAAAUUUUUAUACUCAUACAUGUAUAUUUUCAAUCAUAUCUCUGUUUACCGCUUGAUGCUGUGUUAUUUUCUUUUCUUUUUUCAUGUAUUAUGUGUUCAAAGUGGCAUACUGGCCCGACGGGCCGGGUGUUUAAUCUAUGCUGACUGUUGUUGAUAUUACACUUGGAAAUGUAUACACACGUCACUAUAAAUAAAUAAAUUACUUACUUUCUUACUU
rnacentral:misc_RNA from 1 species